rnacentral:rRNA from 1 species
CCUACGGGAGACAGCAGUGAGGAAUAUUGGUCAAUGGCCGGAAGGCUGAACCAGCCAAGCCGCGUGAAGGACGAAGGUGCCAAGCAUUGUAAACUUCUUUUGUCAAGGGACAAAAUCAGGCUCGAGAGCCUGACCGAGGGUACUUGAAGAAAAAGCAUCGGCUAACUCCGUGCCAGCCGCGGCGGUAAGCGGGGGGAUGCGAGCGUUAUCCGGAUUUAUUGGGUUAAAGGGGUGCGUAGGCGGGCUGGUAAGUCAGGGGUAAAAGCCCGGGGCUCAACCCCGGCGAGCCGUUGAAACUGGCUGUCUUGAGAUUUCGAGAGGUAUGCGGAAUGCGAAGUGUAGCGGUGAAAUGCUUAGAUAUUGCGCAGAACUCCGAUUGCGAAGGCAGCAUACCGGCGGCGAUCUGACGCUGAGGCACGAAAGCGUGGGUAUCGAACAGGAUUAGAUACCCGAGUAGUC